UCCGCAGGCGGCCAGAUAAGUGUAGGGUGAAAUCUCCUGGCUUAACCGGGAAACUGCCUUUCAAACUAUCUGGCUAGAGGUUGGAAGAGGAGAGCGGAACUGCCAGUGUAAGGGUGAAAUCUGUGGAUAUUGGCAGGAACGCCUGUGGUGAAGACGGCUCUCUGGUCCAAUCCUGACGCUCAGGGACGAAAGCUAGGGAAGCAAACA
rnacentral:rRNA from 1 species